rnacentral:rRNA from 1 species
GACGAACGCUGGCGGCGUGCCUAAUACAUGCAAGUCGAACGCUGAAGGAGGAGCUUGCUCUUCUGGAUGAGUUGCGAACGGGUGAGUAACGCGUAGGUAACCUGCCUUGUAGCGGGGGAUAACUAUUGGAAACGAUAGCUAAUACCGCAUAACAGUAGAUGCUGCAUGACAUUUGCUUAAAAGGUGCAGUUGCCUCACUACCAGAUGGCCCUGCGUUGUAUUAGCUAGUUGGUGGGGUAACGGCUCACCAAGGCGACGAUACAUAGCCGACCUGAGAGGGUGAUCGGCCACACUGGGACUGAGACACGGCCCAGACUCCUACGGGAGGCAGCAGUAGGGAAUCUUCGGCAAUGGACGGAAGUCUGACCGAGCAACGCCGCGUGAGUGAAGAAGGGUGUCGGAUCGUAAAGCUCUGUUGUAAGAGAAGAACGAGUGUGAGAGUGGAAAGUUCACACUGUGACGGUAGCUUAACAGAAAGGGACGGCUAACUACGUG